CGAAGCCCCGCCUCCUACGGCAAGCCGGAGGUAGCAAGAUGGCCGCCGCUGAGGAGGCUUGUGGUGCUGGGGCCGACGCGGACCGGGAAUUGGAAGAGCUUCUGGAAAGUGCUCUUGAUGAUUUCGAUAAGGCCAAACCCUCCCCAGCACCCCCUCCUACCACCACGGCCCCUGAUGCUUCGGGGCCCCAGAAGAGAUCGCCAGGAGACACUGCCAAAGAUGCCCUCUUCGCCUCCCAGGAGAAGUUUUUCCAAGAACUGUUCGACAGCGAGCUGGCUUCCCAAGCCACUGCAGAAUUCGAGAAGGCCAUGAAGGAGUUGGCUGAGGAAGAGCCCCAUCUGGUGGAGCAGUUCCAAAAGCUCUCAGAGGCUGCCGGGAGAGUGGGCAGUGAUGCAACCUCCCAGCAAGAAUUUACAUCUUGCCUGAAGGAGACACUCAGUGGACUCGCCAAAAAUGCCACUGAUCUUCAGAACUCAGGCAUGUCAGAGGAGGAACUGACCAAGGCCAUGGAAGGGCUGGGCAUGGAAGAAGGGGAUGGGGAAGGGAACAUCCUCCCCAUCAUGCAGAGUAUCAUGCAGAACCUACUGUCCAAGGACGUGUUGUACCCAUCACUGAAGGAGAUUACAGAAAAGUAUCCAGAAUGGUUGCAGAGUCACCGGGGGUCUCUUCCUCCAGAGCAGUUUGAAAAAUAUCAGGAACAACAUAGUGUCAUGGGCAAGAUAUGUGAGCAGUUUGAGGCCGAGACCCCCACAGACAGCGAGGCCACUCAGAAGGCUCGUUUUGAGAUGGUGCUGGAUCUCAUGCAGCAGCUACAGGAUUUGGGCCAUCCUCCAAAAGAGCUGGCUGGGGAGAUGCCUCCUGGCCUCAACUUUGACCUGGAUGCCCUCAAUCUGUCAGGCCCACCAGGUGCCAAUGGCGAACAGUGUCUGAUCAUGUGAAACACAACACGCGUUCGGCCCUGAUUCCCAGCCAUGGGGAACAUCUGGAGUCAGCAGAACCACUGGGAGCCGAGGCAGGAGUGUCGUCUGCAAGAGCAGUCUGCCCACUGCCCUCUGUCAUCCCAGCUGAGAUCGUGCCAUACCAGCUGAGGCUCUUACUCUGUCUUUCUGGUCUUUCUGUGAUCUUCCUCGGCUUCUGUAAGCUGCAGCGUGAGGAAUGUUUGCAGACCAGUUCAUACCAUUGCAGUGCUGGUUCUACCACCGCCCCCUUCCCCAGCUGAGGCUGCCCCUCGGUUGGCCAAGGACGCUGGAUGGCCAUCUUGCCUCGUUGCCUCUGGGUGUUCCAAUCUGGGAAGCCCUUCAGUUGGUGUUGUAUCCUAAGGUUUCACAUUUUUAUUAUCGUUAGCAAUAUAUUAUUAACGUUUUAAAAAUUAUUUCUAUUAUCAUUGUUAUUUUGAGUUGAUCUUGCCCUUCUCUUUGGGAACCACUGCAUCUAUGGACCUUGGCUGCCACGUGUUAGUGGAUACUCUGGUCAGACCAGCUGGCUCUCCUGUCUCAGCACUCAGAAGAUAAUGCACAGGGCAGGUGACACUCAGCCUCUGAGUCACUUGGCGCUCCGAACAUGCCACUUUGCAGGGGUUAAGCUUUCUUACCCUUAAGACGAUUCCACACAUUCUGUGUGGAUGGGGGAUUGAGCCUCAAGCUGUUUGGGAAGGUCUAGGUACUGGACCGCAUCAGAAUAUGAAAGCCCCAGUCUGAAUCUGACUCCUCUGUUGUGUAGGAGGUGGGAAAAGCGGAGGCAGACUCGUGAUGGUGGUCACAGGGCCUGAAUGGCCAAAAGUCUCUACCAGCUCCGUCCAAACACCGGACGAGGAUAGAGAGGAGGAGGGAAGGACAAAAAGACCCUGUCCCUGAACCAUGUACCUGCUGUACUGGCAGUUCUCUUUUACCGAUUUUCAGUCCUGCUGUCCUAGUCAGGGCUUACUCCAGGAAUCCAGACGGAUGCUCUAGUCCAAUUUAGUUUUGUUCCCAAGCCAUUUGUUUUCAUUUUGAUUGAACAUGAACAAACUGACCUCCAGCUCCUCUCUGUCCCGGAAGCGCUGUUGGAGUGGUUCUGGGCUCGUGGAAGACAGAGCGGUCCUUCUCAAACUGUCUGCUAAAGAGCCAGGGUUUUUGUUUUGUUUAUUUCACCCAGUCCUUCGUACGCUCAGAUGCGUUCCCGUUGCCCGUGACAAGUGUGCAGUUCACACAGCACGCCACCCACCACGCAGGCUUGGCCACACCCAAGCUGACCAGGCCCCUUUCAGCAGGCUGAGUCCACUGAUCAUGCCCCUGGACAUCACAGCAAUGUCAGAACGCUAAGACAUUUCUAGACACUCUGAACUUCUAACUCAUCAUGUCGCAGACAGGUAGAAAACUGUUCACAGACCAGUACAAGUCUCUGAAGCACCUUGGGUGGCACUGCUCUGGGGCCCUCCCCGGUCUCCACAGCUCCGUCGGCCAUACUGGUAUGUUUCUGUACUUGUUCUCUCUCACGUGAGGGUUGCCUCCAGUCCACUCUUUCUUUGGCCAGGGUGUGUCGCUGUAAGGACCUCUAUAUUAUUUUUGGAGCCUUUUCUUCUGCUUAAAAAUAACCAUUAAGAAGUUUAGGUUUACGCUGUAUGUGGAGUUUUUAUGCUGCUCUCAGACUUUAAAGGAGGUACCCCUUUGUUCCAAAAUUCUGUAUGUUAGAAAAUAAAUUUGUAGUUGUUUGGUUUCAUGAGUUAAGAAUCGAAUUCAUACAGAAUUUGCGGUAAUGAGGGUAUUUUCCCGUGACUCUGGAGACCAUCCUGGCGAGGGCCCCAGGAGGUGCUUAUCAUACACUGUCACGAUGGCUGGGGAGCUUGGAAAAAACGAUGGUCCACAGUAAACGAGGUUGAGAUGAUAGACCUUACGAGAAACGAUCAAAAGGCUUAGAGGAAGUGGGCAUGUGAGAAUGAAUGUCUAUUACACCGGAAAACCCACUAGCUGACCAUGUUCCUUAGGAAGGUCUGGGGACAUUUUUGUUUGCUUUAUGAAGGAAAGGCACUAAUGAAUGGGUCACUGGCAUCUUUGGGAAAUUUAGAAGUGGCUGUCUCUGUGGGUGGAGGCUGAUGGCAGGGGAUGUUUAAGAACUGGUUUCCCUUGUAGCAGUGGGGAUGAUAGGAUCCUCGCAUGGCGGAAGUCAAGUGGCAACACUUAACUCUCAGAGUCAGGGUGGGUGGGUUUCCAUAGGGCAGCAUGUUCAAAGUGGAGAUGGCUAAUGGAACGUGGGUGGUCCCAGGGACCAGAUAAAUGGACAGCCAAGCAAGGCAUUGGUUUGUAUUUAAUUAAGAGAUCAAGAAUGAUUGAGCAGAAGAAUGAGAUCAGUAACUUGAAAAGUCAAAAUUCCUUGCCCAUUUUUUAGGCCUGAGACAGUUCUUAGAUUCAGACUACCAAUUGAAAGAUCCAUUUACUUAGUCAACCAUGUAUUGGGGGAAGAUUGCCCAGAUUUUUUAAGUUGGAAAAUAGGGAUACUGGGCCUGAGUUGACUUUGAUACCCAGGGACCCGAAGCGCCACCACAGCACUGCCCUUCCUACGCCCCGUCCUCAUCGCAGUAGGGGAAUAUGGGGUCAGAACGGAGUGCUUGCCUGAAUCUGCCUCACGGUGGGUCCAGAAACCCACUUUAUGGUCUUUUUUUUUUUUUUUUCAGUUUCCAAAUGUAUAAUCAGAAAGGACAUUCUUGACAAUCGGCAGGAAGCCCAAGUAGAAGCUCCUGAAACUGCACCCCCACCUCUACCAAGAUAGAAAAUAAAAAAUACUGCGUUCUGGGGGAAAUGGCAGUAAUUAGUUCAACGCUUAAAAGGGUAGGGGGAUGCUGGAGUGUGGGUCUCCAUCAUUUCUUUUAAUUCCACCCGUCUGGCUCUUGCAAAAACUGGAUUGGCCUGAGGCGGAUUGCAUGGGGCUACUGCAAACUUCGGUGGGUGGUAGUCCAAGCAGUACUGUGUUGGGUGUGUUUCCUCUACGAGAGGAAGUAACACAGCUUCGGGUAUAGGUACGUGGUUUUUAAUGUGUACUGUCUGACCCUCGACAGAAAGCUUGCCAACCCCUCAUCUAGUGAAUACGUUCUCCCAAGGAGUAUCAGAAACACUUUGCAUUCACAAGUGGUGGGCACCAGUAUACAUUCACAGUCUUGAUCUGGAGCUAUGUUAUUUCCCCCCCAUCGUCACCGUGUAGCCCAUUCUGCGGGGUACCACGUUUGUAUGCUUUGUGUAGCUUACGCUACGCAGGGAUUAAGGACAUGCUAAUCAGACUUGAUGAACAAGCAGUGUCAAGUAUUCUGGGUUCCUUGGUGAGACACAUGCACUCCGGAGAGUGGAAAAUAAAUCCUGCAAAGAUGCACGGUCCUGCCACGUUGGUUAAGUUUUUAGGAGUCCAGGGAGCUGGAGCAUUCUGGGACAUUCUCUCUAAAGUAAAGGGUAAGUUAUUGCAUCUUGUGUAUUUUACCCCAAGAAAGAAGCGCGGUGCCUUAAGUAGGCCUCUUCUGUUUUGGUGGCACCGUACUCUGUGCUUAGGAAUGCAAGAAAGGCCUCUGCAGCAGAUCCAGGCUAUGAUAUACAAGCAGCCCCGCGGCAGGGGCCGUAUGACCUGGAAAAUUCUGUGGUACUAGAGGUAUCUGUGGUAGGAAGAGAUGGUGUGUGGAUUCUCGGGCUAUCCUCAACAGGAGAGUUCCAGCAUAGAUCUCUCGGGUUCUGGGGUAAGGUUAUGCCAUCUGCAGUAAAGAAAGUUUCAUCAUUUGAAAAGCAUCUCCUGGCAUACGAUUAGACCCUGAUAGAGACUCAGUGCUUGACCACAAAAUAUCAAGUGACUAUGUGAGCAGUUGCCCAUAUAACCAGCUGGUUAUUGUGAGACCUGCCAAGUCAUAAGAUUGGGCGGAUACAAUAGCAAUUCGUCUUACAAUGGGAACAGUACCUUUGGGAAGAAGCCCAAACAGCCUUGCUGGGCACGAAUAAGUUAACCUGAACAAGGGUCCUCAGUUCUCCAGAUUAUGUACAUCUGUUACAGUGAUAGCUUUGUCCUAGCCCAUGCCUGUGGCAACAGGAGAAAUCCUGCAACCAUUUGAUUGGCCAGACGAGAAAAAAAUCCAGGUCUGGUUCGUGGAGGAGUUGGUUUGAUAUGUUUUAGGGCAAGCCAAAUAUGGACUAUCGCUUCUCAGUGGCCCCAUCUGGAGUGGUCCUAAAAGUCAGUGAUGAGGGCAAAUUCUCAAUCAGUAGGUCUUUAGGCAGUGUAGGUGAUUAUCCGCUUUGGAGAGUGAGAAGUGGCCUGAGGCAAGGGUAUAUGUGAACUCAAGGUCAGUGGGCUGGUUGGUCAGGGGCCCAGAAGGUGCAAGAUAGGAAAAUGCGAGAGAAGAUCUGGUGAAGAGCAUUUGGGUGGGUCUGUGAGAGUGGGACUUACUAUAGCGUUCACCAGAAAAGCAUUAGCUAAUAACCAAACGGACAGGACGAUUUGACCAGGAACCUCACCUGGCCCAGUUCUUCCAGUGUGCUCAUGAGUAGAAUCACCCUGAUGGCAGAGAUGGAGGCUGUUUAUCGGCCUCUUAGCAUUGGACGCCUCUCUUGCCAGAGGCUGACCUAGCUAUUCUAAAUGUCUAACCGGUCAGCCACAAAGAGCAAUGCUGAUCCCCCAGUUCAGUACCACUGCUCAGGGAGAACAACCAGCCACUUGGUGGCAAUGAUUCCAUUCUGGAAAAGUCAGCAACUUACUCUGAUCCCAUAUCUUGCUUUGCUUAUCCUGCCUGGAGUGCCUUAGCUAGUAGGACCAUCCAAGGACUCAGACGCGUUUGAUCUACUGGUAUAGGAUCCUACAUAAUAAUGCUUUGGAACAAGGGACCCGUUUAAUGACAAAGCAGGUGCAGCAGUGGGCGCAUGACAAUGGGGUCCACUACUGUUACCAAAUACCUUUCCAUCCAGAAGCUUUUGACCUGGUAGAGCAUUGGGAUGGCCUUUGGA